AUUGAACGCUGGCGGCAGGCCUAACACAUGCAAGUCGAACGAGUGGCGGACGGGUGAGUAAUGUCUGGGAAACUGCCCGACGGAGUGGGCUCAUUACUGGAAACGGUAGCUAAUACCGCAUACCAUCGGAUGUGCCCAGAUGGGAUUAGCGAGUAGGUUGGGUAACGGAUCACCUAGGAGAAGAUCCAUAGCUGGUCUGAUAGGAUGACCAGCUCCACUGGAACGGAGACGCGGUCCAGACUCCUACGGGAGGCAGCAGUGGCGAAUAUUGCACAAGGGCCGCAAGCCGGAUGCAGCCAUGCCGCGGGUAUGAAUAAUGCCUUCGGGUUUUAAAGUACUUUCAGCGAGGAGGCGUUACUCGCAGAAGAAGCACCGGCUAACUCCGUGCCAGCAGCCGCGGUAAUUC
rnacentral:rRNA from 1 species